AGCAGCCGCGGUAAUUCCAGCUCCAAUAGCGUAUAUUAAAGUUGUUGCAGUUAAAAAGCUCGUAGUUGAAUUUUGGAUUCUGCCGUUUGGUCCAUCUUUUAGAUGAGUACUGAUCGUGUAGGAUCUCUUUGCCUGGUAAUACGUAAUGCUCUUUAUUGGGUGUUGCGGGUAGUCAGGACUUUUACCUUGAAAAAAUUAGAGUGUUUAAAGCAGGCAUUUGCCGGAAUACAUUAGCAUGGAAUAAUAGAAUAGGACGUCGUUGUUCUAUUUUGUUGGUUUCUAGGACAACCGUAAUGAUUAAUAGGGAUAGUUGGGGGCAUUAGUAUUCAAUUGUCAGAGGUGAAAUUCUUGGAUUUAUUGAAGACUAACUACUGCGAAAGCAUUUGCCAAGGAUGUUUUCAUUAAUCAAGAACGAAAGUUAGGGGAUCGAAGACGAUCAGAUACCGUCGUAGUCUUAACCAUAAACUAUGCCGACUAGGGAUCGGACGAAGUUAAUUUUUAAAUGACUCGUUCGGCACCUUACG
rnacentral:rRNA from 1 species